rnacentral:rRNA from 1 species
AAAAACAUGUCCUUUAGUUAUUUAUUUAAGGUCUAGUCUGCCCAAUGAGGAAUUGAAUGGCCGCAGUAUAUUAACUGUGCUAAGGUAGCAUAAUCAUUUGUCUUUUAAUUGAGGGCUGGAAUGAAAGGCUGGACGAGGCAUUAACUUUCUUUGAUUUAAAUAUAAGAACUUAAUUUUUGAGUUAAAAAGCUUAAAUUUAUUUGUUGGACGAGAAGACCCUAUAGAUCUUUAUAAUUUUAUGUUUUGGUAAUCUGGGGAUUUAAUUAGCUUAGAGCUGGAAGGUUAUUUUGUUGGGGUGACUGUAGAAUUUGAAGAACUUCUAUUUGUUUAAUUCAUUUAUUAAUGUUUUUUUUGAUCCAUUUUUUAUGAUUAUAAGACUAAGUUACCUUAGGGAUAACAGCGUAAUUUUUCCGGAGAGUUCGUAUUGAUGGAAGAGUUUGCGACCUCGAUGUUGGAUUAAAGUAAGUAAUGGAUGCAGAAGUCUGUUUACUAGGUCUG